rnacentral:rRNA from 1 species
GGAUUAGAUACCCUGGUAGUCCACGCCCUAAACGAUGUGUGCUAGAUGUCGGGGGACUUGUCCUUCGGUGUCGGAGCUAACGUGUUAAGCACACCGCCUGGGGAGUACGGCCGCAAGGUUAAAACUCAAAGGAAUUGACGGGGGCCCGCACAAGCGGUGGAGCAUGUGGUUUAAUUCGACGCAACGCGCAGAACCUUACCAGCCCUUGACAUGAUGGCUGCGGUAUCCGGAGACGGAUGCUUUCCUUCGGGAGGCCAUUACAGGUGCUGCAUGGCUGUCGUCAGCUCGUGCCG